GUGCCAUGGCUGUAGCUACACAUGCAAGUCGAACGGCAGCACAGAGGAGCUUGCUCCUUGGGUGGCGAGUGGCGGACGGGUGAGGAAUACAUCGGAAUCUACUUUUUCGUGGGGGAUAACGUAGGGAAACUUACGCUAAUACCGCAUACGACCUACGGGUGAAAGCAGGGGACCUUCGGGCCUUGCGCGAUUGAAUGAGCCGAUGUCGGAUUAGCUAGUUGGCGGGGUAAAGGCCCACCAAGGCGACGAUCCGUAGCUGGUCUGAGAGGAUGAUCAGCCACACUGGAACUGAGACACGGUCCAGACUCCUACGGGAGGCAGCAGUGGGGAAUAUUGGACAAUGGGCGCAAGCCUGAUCCAGCCAUACCGCGUGGGUGAAGAAGGCCUUCGGGUUGUAAAGCCCUUUUGUUGGGAAAGAAAUCCAGCCGGCUAAUACCUGGUUGGGAUGACGGUACCCAAAGAAUAAGCACCGGCUAACUUCGUGCCAGCAGCCGCGGUAAUACGAAGGGUGCAAGCGUUACUCGGAAUUACUGGGCGUAAAGCGUGCGUAGGUGGUUGUUUAAGUCUGUUGUGAAAGCCCUGGGCUCAACCUGGGAACUGCAGUGGAAACUGGACAACUAGAGUGUGGUAGAGGGUAGCGGAAUUCCCGGGUGUAGCAGUGAAAGGCGUAAAGAUCGGG
rnacentral:rRNA from 1 species